rnacentral:rRNA from 1 species
UACGGGGGGAGCAAGCGUUGUUCGGAUUUACUGGGCGUAAAGGGCGCGUAGGCGGCCACCGCAAGUCGACUGUGAAAUCUCUGGGCUUAACCCAGAACGGUCAGCUGAUACUGCGGGGCUAGAGUGCAGAAGGGGCAACUGGAAUUCUCGGUGUAGCGGUGGAAUGCGUAGAUAUCGAGAGGAACACCUGCGGCGAAGGCGGGUUGCUGGGCUGACACUGACGCUGACAGCGCGAAAGCUAGGGGAGCGAACGGG